CUGUAAAAAAAAAAUUGUAUCUCUGCCUUUGAUCAUCUCCAUCUCGUUGACAGCUAAACAAGAAUAACAGCAAGGUCGGCGAAAAGGCCUUGUAUAAAUAAGACAUUAUUGCUUUUAAAUCAAAUGGUGGAGUACAAUUCCGGAGAGGAGGUAGAUUUAGUAUUUAGCUAUAUAUAUCAGACGUCAUAGCAUUUAGCCCAGUUAGCUCCAUGUACUGCAUAGAUGCCGUUUCGAAAACGUCACAAGCGAGUAUUUGAGGGGGUUCGUUUAUUUGGCACGGAUUACCCCAGUGGGAGGAGUUUGAUUCGGGAGAAAAGUGAUUGUGUUGGUUUAGGAACCGGACUGCCUCACGGGUGUGAGCCAGGUGCCCAGCUCUGACCGACCGCGAAGUCUGCUCAAAACAAAAGUGACGUAAUUAAGCACGUGGAGUGAUUAAUAGGAUUCCGAUUUUUCACAUGCACAAGUGAUUGCUUUGGAUAAAAACUCUUUAUCUGCCUUCCCAAUGUAACAUAUUUAGAACAUUCAAUGGAAAAGAGAUGCUGUAUUUUUCUGGAUGAUGCACCAUGCUGCCAACAUGACAGCGGGGCCGAUUACUGUUUGAUUUGAGAUUUCGUCCGAUGACGUGUGUGCAUUUGCCCUGUUCAACGCGGACCAGUGUAAUAUAGACCCUCCAUUAGUAUUUGAGUAGUCAAAUGAAACUGACAAGAUAAUAUAGACCUUUUUGUAAAAAUUUGUCAGGUAAAUUAUGUCAUAUUAAUGCAUGUUGUUGUGUGGGGAAAUUAUCAGUUUAGCAGCUAGCUAAUUUACUGGUUAUGAUCAAAUCAACUGGACUGAGCAUCUGUCAAAAACUGCAUAGCUAGCGAGUUUACAGUAUUAUGCAGUCGAAGUAAUCCAGUGUGUGAAUUAAAUAUUUAAACUACUUCAAAAUCUUCCAGAAAUCACAAUCCUCUUUCAUACUUUAGCAGGCUGCAAUACCCAUAAUCUCAGUACAAAUUAUUCUAAAGAUCCUAUGAACAGACUAAUAGAUAGAUAAUGAAUUAUUGGUGCAGCAGCCCCCUUCUCCUCCCUGGGUUUGCCUGAAGCAGCCUCCACAGCUCUAGUGUUGACAUGAGCUCUAAGAUCUCAAAGUGGGGUGUCUGUCUGUGUACCCUAGUUCAUCAUGAGAACAGACAGGAAAAUCUAGGUCAACACCAGCUUCUUUUGUUUUGUAUGAUUCCAAGCACACAACUGUGUGAAUGAAUUCCAAACACUCAACAACUUUGUUUGACUAUAUCAUAACUAAGUAUUACCCUCUAUUUUGUUCAUGUUUUUCAUAAUGUGCCUUUUUUAAUAUAUUUGGAAUAGCAGGUGUCUUACAACGCACAUGAGGCCAGUGUCUCUGUUAAAGAGUGUAUCGAAGGUAUCAUUGGAGGAAUAGACUACAACCAGAACAAAGUGAACCAAUGGACCGCCAGCAUCGUGGAGCACUCUCUCACCCAGUUGGUCAAACAAGGGAGACCAUUCAAGUUCAUAGGCUGGACGAUGGGCCCUUUGUGACCGAGAGCAAGGCUCUGUGCAUGACAGAAAGCUGACAGCAGGAAAUGUAUCAUCAACAUGGUCUUGUUUUCCAAUGAACUGUGUCAUCAUGUAGAAGAGUGGUGCUAGUCUCCACACGGCCAACUCUUGCUACUGGGACACUGCUACUGAUGGUGAGAGAGAGGAAAACCCCACACUGUACUACUCUACUACUAACUGUACAAACCAUUGAACAGUCAUUUGCUUUGUUGUGCUAAUGAACAGUGUAUCACCCUUUGGCUAAAUCAGGAGGGUGUAACAUGUUGAACUUUAAGAUAGAAAUGUAUUGAAUUUUACUGACAUGAUUUUCUGUGAUAUUCUGAGAACAAGGAAUUUUUCCCACUGUACAUUGAGUUUCUAUCUGUGUAUGUUUUUUGAACAUGGCACUGCACUCAAGAAGCCGUGUGUGUGAAACUAUAUUUUACAAGUCUAAAUUAGUUCUGAUGUUGUGUUCCCUUUGAUUGGUUGAGAUCUAGUAGGUUGACCUGAUUGGUCUUUGUGGUGUCCUCCCAUAGGAAGCUGCACAGUCAGGUGGGAGAACCGCACCAUGUACUGUGUGGUGUGUGUUUUCGCUGUGGCCGUGACCUGUUAACUUGGGACCCUCAAUUUCCCUUCCCAAAACCCCCUCUCUCGCACAGAGCCAAACACAGCCAGGCAUGCACCAGGACUACCAAGCCUUGAAGAUCCCAUGCUGAUUACCUAUGAACAGAAAUGUCUGUUGUACAAAAACACUUCUUAACCCCACAAUUCCAAACUUUGAACAUCUACAAUGGGAACCAUAGGAUGGGAAUUCAGUGAUCUUGCUAUAUGUGAUGGAUGCAUAGUGUUUAGUGUUGUCUGUGUGUAAAUGUAAAUACAGACCAAUAGUUAGAGAGAGAUAUGCUCAGUAUGGAUUUAGGAAAUGGCACUACCCAUACUGGUAAAUGUUCUUUGAACAAUCACAGAAUAUCUUCAACUAGGCUAUACAUGUGUAAUAAUAGUAUUAACUAAAUCAAUACAUCACAAUUAUAGUUACAACUGUAAACAACAGUCUUAUCAAUAGUGUGCCAUAGUUGUACCACUAUCUAAAAUGUUUUCCCUGAGGCUCAGCAGAGGGAUCAGGUUCAAUACAUUCCUAACAGAGUGCAGAGAGAGACAGAUUGGAGGUUCCAUUGAGCAUUGUAGUUUUAUGAAGGUGCACAUUUAAUUUAAGAAUAUGUUAAGACAUAAUCAUUUAACAUACUCCAUUUAUAUUUAUUCUAAGACCAUUCCUUGUAGAUUUCUUAAAUUGUAGCUGUCCUGCAUUGUAUUUGUAUUUAUCAGGAUCCCCAUUAGCGCUCCCUGGUGGUCAAGUGGUUAGGAUUCGGAGAUCUCACUGCCGCGGCCCGGGUUCGAUUCCGGGUCAGGGAAUGAAUAGCUUGGAUCCUGAGAGGCGCAGCGGUCUAACGCACUGCAUCACAGUGCUAGAGGCGUCACUACAGACCCGGGUUUGAUCCCAGGCUGUAUCCAACUGGCCGUGAUCAGGAGUCCCAUAGGGUGGCGCACAAUUGGCCCAGUGUCGUCUGGGUUAGGGGAGGGUUUGGCCAGGGUAGGCCGUCAUUGUAAAUAAGAAUUUGUUCUUAACUGACUUGACUAGUUAACUAAAGGUAAAAUACAUUUUAAAAAGCUGCUGCCUAGGCAGCAACUACUCUUCCUGGGGUCCAAACACAUUAAGGCACUUACAUCACAUAUAAAACAAAAGAUAAAACAGUACAUCAUAUAACAUUAUUACAACACUACAUAUCUACAAUACAAAAUGUAUAAUACCACCAUACAACAAUAUGGUUGUGUGCGUAUGCGUGUGUCUGAACUUUGUGUGUGUCUCUUCACUGUCCCCGCUGUUCCAUAAACUGUAAUCUGUUUUUAAAUCUGAUUCUACUGCUUGUAUCAGUUACCUGAUGUGGAAUAUUUAGUCAUAUUUAGUCAUGGCUCUAUGUAGUACUGUGCGCCUCCCAUAGUCUGUUCUGGACUUGUGGAUUGCAAAGAGACCUCUGGUGGCAUGUCUUGUGAGGUAUACAUGGGUGUCCGAGCUGUGUACUAGUAGUUUAAACAGACAUCUCGGUACAUUCAGCUUGUCAACACUUCUUACAAAAACAAUUAGUGAUUAAUGAAGAUGUAUGCACUCACUACUGUAAGUCGCUCUGGAUAAGAGUGUCUGCUAAAUGACUAAAAUGUAAAUGUAUGUCAAUUUCUCCUCUGUUUUUAGCCAUGAGAGAUUGACAUGCUUAUUAUUAAUGUUACCUCUACGUUUCAAUUUAAGGGCUAGCUGUGCUGCCCUGUUCUCAGCCAGUUGUAAUUUUCCCAAGUCCCUCUUUGUGGCACCUGACCACACUACUGAACAGUAGUCCAGCUGCUGUAGGACCUGCCUUGUUUAUAGUGUUGUUAAGAAGGCAGAACUGUGCUUUAUUAUGGACAGACUUCUCCCCAUCUUAGCUACUGUUGUAUCAAUAUGUUUUGACCAUGACAGUUUACAAUCCAGGGUUACUCCAAGCAGUUUAGUCACCUCAACUUGCUCAAUUGACAUAUUAUUCAUUACAAGAUUUAGUUGAGGUUUAGUGAAUGAUUUGUCCCAAAUACAAUGCUUUUAAUUUUUGUAAUAUUUAGGACUAAUUUAUUCCUUUCCACCCAUUCUGAAACUAACUGUAGCUCUUUGUUAAGUGUUGCAGUCAUUGCAGUCGAUGUAGACUUUUUGUUUCAAUUACUCAUGAUACUGUAAAUAUUACUUGUAAGCUGUGACUGGCAUCUUUGUCCAUUGACCUUUCAGUCAUUAAAUGCAUUAUUUAACUAACAUCAUAAUUUCCUGGUGUUUAUUUGAGACGUCUCACCAGUAAAGCAGGUUGACAGAAUAGUUAGUGAGGUUUAGGAUGGGGUGAAACUGCUAGUUUCUUACCUUGUACACAUUAAUGUACAUAGGGGGAUUGUGAGGUAGUAGUGGCGUUAGACAAUUUGUAACAACAACGAAAGGUUAUCCUAUUUUCUGCAUUGUUUGUUGUUCUAAUCUAGUGCAAAGCCUUGUACAAGAUGGGAUUUUAAAAGAAGAUCAGGUGGAAUUAGAUUGU